CUGUAAUUGGCUGUCUCUGACCGCUGACCCCAAAACGUGCGUGCACGUCUAUGACGUGACGCCGCACGUACGUCGGCGCCAUCUUUGAUGUGGGCGAAGGUAAGUCUCUUAUAAAAGCCUGAUCCGCAAUGGCCGGCGUUCCUAAGAACGUCGCACCUGCUGGGGACCGGAACGGAGGGAGACCGGGUUUCUGCCCGCCAAGCCCAAGGUAAGUUUGAAACAUUUGAUGGUGUGGCUGAUUAGUUUGAGUGCAGCCACGCCGGCAGAGAUGUAACCGAGAACUCAUUGUAUGGACCAGAGAGACAACUCCAGCAACGAAGAACUCAUUGUAUGGACCAGCUUCCAGUAACCGAGAACUCAUUGUAUAGACCAGACUCCAGUCUCCAAGAACUGCUUGCGUGGACUGAUGAGACUAUAAUUACACAUGGACCUGACAGAGAAGAAAAGCCAGUGCCUUAGCUGGGUAAAGGGCCACCAGAACAGACUUUGUUAUAUUUAUUGAUUUUAUGACAACAACUGAAUGGAUAAGGUCUGCACCCCAACUUUCUGACUGCCCUGAACAAUUACAAUUAUUUAUAUAGCGACCACAUAUUCCGCAGCGCUGUACAAUAAGAAAACAAGACAAAAAUGUAAUUCUAGCAAAACAUGUAGGACAUUGGGAACAGUAGGUGAACAGGUCUCUUCCAAACGAGCUUAUAAACUAGAUGGUUAUCCCUGCUGUAGGUUUCCUCUUCUCCCCGCUACCUCUCACUGCCUGGCUCUUCCUCCAAUUCCCUGCUUGAGUUCCUUGCUUCCAGACACUCAAAGCAUUUUGUGCUUGUAUAAUAGGAGCUCGUAACAUGAUUAAAAUUGCAAACAUGUCUGUGUGUCAUUCUGUAU